rnacentral:rRNA from 1 species
GACGAACGCUGGCGGCGUGCCUAACACAUGCAAGUCGAACGGGAUCCAUGGAGUGCUUGCACUCCGGAAGAUCUAGUGGCGAACGGGUGAGUAACACGUGAGAAACCUGCCCCAGACUCUGGGAUAACCUCGGGAAACCGAAGCUAAUACCGGAUAUUCUCCUUUGGUCGCAUGGCCAGUUGAGGAAAGUUUUUCGGUCUGGGAGGGUCUCGCGGCCUAUCAGCUAGUUGGUGGGGUAACGGCCCACCAAGGCUACGACGGGUAGCUGGUUUGAGAGAACGAUCAGCCACACUGGAACUGAGACACGGUCCAGACUCCUACGGGAGGCAGCAGUGGGGAAUCUUGCGCAAUGGGCGAAAGCCUGACGCAGCAACGCCGCGUGCGGGAUGAAGGCCUUCGGUGUAACGACUUCUAGCAGGACGAAAUAGACGGUACCGUGCAGAAGAAGACCCGGCCGUAACUACGUGCCAGCAGCCGCGGUAACACGAGAGUA